UCCUUCCUCAGGCAUAACUGACAGUUUAUGGAGCAAAUAGUGCUCACUGUGCAUGUGCAAUGUAAAUGGGGAGGUCUUCUGUGCUCGUUUGCACAUAUCCUCCACCUCUUCCUCAGGAGUCACAGCAACCCACCUUGGAGUUCAGCUUCCGGCAGGCUGCCGAUCCCAUGGUUCCACAAGAUGGCAGUGUCGUACACAAAUGUGAGCCGGAGUUCCGACUUCAAGUCGAAAUGCUGCCAGCCUCCCACCCCCACGGGGGAAUGGAACACGUAGGAAACGUACAGAGGAACUCGAAGGGUCACGUAGGACUGCACGAGGUUUAGGACCUAAGACAAUGAAAUCAUCCCCGUCAGUGUUAACCAAACCAGGCCAAGUCUGCAGAAUUUCACAGCACUGUGUUUUCCUCACUUCACACACAAUGUCACCACUGUCAUCGGCACGGGGAUGUUCACCAUUUCCAGCAAUACAUAACGGCAACUUUAUGAAGGCAGUCUCAUGCACAUAAUUCACCCACUUAAGUGGAUAAGUCAAUAGUUUUUUGAUGUAUCCAAGGAACCAUGCAACCACCACCACAAUCAACUUUAGGAAGUGUUCAUUGCAUCCACAGGAAUCUAGCACCCAGGAGAAGUCACCCUCCUCAUGGUGUGGGUGACUGCUAAUCCAUGCCCUGUAUUUGCCUCCUCUGAGCACAUAGAAAUGGAUCUUGUCAGUUGCUCUUCUUUCGAUGCGUUACUGCCUUUUAUUAAGGGAUAACAGCAUAAUAUAUAGAUAUAUUCUUUUUUAUUGACCCUCAGAGGAAUGGUGUGAAUUUGGAACUAUUAUGCAAAAUGCAUCUCUGAACUAUUUUUUAAUCAUAUAGAGGAAGUUAGGAUGAACAUAAAGAUGUAAAAAAUACACGUUUAGCAAUGGCAUGGUGCAGUUAUGAUAUUUCAAAACAAAUGAACUGUCUUUGAAUUUUAUAUUUUCUUUCUUCUGGUAUUCAACAGUGGGGUAAGGGAGGUCAAGAGAAUAAAUUAAUACGUAUCAAGAAUCUACCAAA